ACCAGGUGUGGUGAUGCACACCUGUAAUCCCAGUAACUCUGGAGGCUAAGGUAGGAGGAUCCCAAGUUUGAGGUCAGCCUCAGCAGUUUAGCAAGACCCUGCCUCAA
rnacentral:sRNA from 1 species